UACGUAGGGUCCGAGCGUUGUCCGGAAUUACUGGGCGUAAAGAGCUCGUAGGUGGUUUGUCGCGUUGUUCGUGAAAACUCACAGCUCAACUGUGGGCGUGCGGGCGAUACGGGCAGACUUGAGUACUGCAGGGGAGACUGGAAUUCCUGGUGUAGCGGUGAAAUGCGCAGAUAUCAGGAGGAACACCGGUGGCGAAGGCGGGUCUCUGGGAAGUAACUGACGCUGAGAAGCGAAAGCAUGGGUAGCAAACAGG
rnacentral:rRNA from 1 species